CCUACGGGAGGCAGCAGUGAGGAAUAUUGGUCAAUGGACGAGAGUCUGAACCAGCCAAGUAGCGUGAAGGAUGACUGCCCUAUGGGUUGUAAACUUCUUUUAUAUGGGAAUAAAAUGUUCCACGUGUGGGAUUUUGUAUGUACCAUAUGAAUAAGGAUCGGCUAACUCCGUGCCAGCAGCCGCGGUAAUACGGAGGAUCCGAGCGUUAUCCGGAUUUAUUGGGUUUAAAGGGAGCGUCGGUGUGUUUGUAAGUCAGUUGUGAAAGUUUGCGGCUCAACCGUAAAAUUGCAGUUGAAACUGGCAGUCUUGAGUACAGUAGAGGUGGGCGGAAUUCGUGGUGUAGCGGUGAAAUGCUUAGAUAUCACGAAGAACUCCGAUUGCGAAGGCAGUUCACUGGACUGCAACUGACACUGAGGCUCGAAAGUGUGGGUAUCAAACAGGAUUAGAUACCCUGGUAGUC
rnacentral:rRNA from 1 species